rnacentral:lncRNA from 10 species
AAGAAGCAGUCUUGGACCUUUCAUCUUCAGAGAAUGUCACAAGGAACAGAGAUAAGCCACCCCUGCUGAGCCCUGCCCAAUCUGCAGAUUCGCACUGGGGAAACUCUUUUUCUCCUUACUCCUGGAGAUUCUGAUUUCACUGUGCGACCUGAUGGGGAGUUGCCAGGAGAAGGACUGCGUCGGCCUUUGGAAGCUGGUGAAGCCGCACUUGCCUGGACCUCUCCUGGAGACUCAGCUGCUAAGUGAUUCAUUUCAGAUCCAUCUCCUUUAACUGGGAUUGGUUUUACCACCUGAAUCAAAGUAUUCCAAUAUUUUGAUUACUUAAAAAUAUAAAAGGAAUACCCUUUGCCAUCUCAAUAUGGCUUCAAUGAAGAAUUUCCUACCACCAUUCUACGGCAGUUAGCUGCUCUCCCGCUGCAUGAAGGUAACAAUGUUGACUAGCAACAUCUAGAAUAUGAAGACUGCUGUACAAGGCUGCUUCUGCUGGUAUUGAGGGAGAGAAGAAGCUCUAGCCAGAAGACAAAGGAGGCUUCAACUGUUUAAUAUUAGUUCCUUUAAAAAAUACACAUCCAACUGCACUGCAGCAAGUACAAUAAAAUAUUAACAUUUAUUAAAUACA